rnacentral:tRNA from 1 species
CGAGCGGGAGUGAGUGAACCCCGGACUCAUAAUCCGUCGGCCGUGGGUUCGAGUCCCACCCGCCCCACCA